GGGACAGCGGCACAAUGGAUAAUGCGCCUGACUACGGAUCAGGGAUUCCCUGUUCAAAUCCUGGCUGGCUCCG
rnacentral:tRNA from 1 species